AGAGGUCCUGAGGCAGGGUGUCCCGGAAGUAGUCGCCCGAGUAACGCUCCGGGUUCUUCCUCUCCUCCUCGGGCGGGUAGUCGAGCGCCCACUGCGGAAGCG
rnacentral:SRP_RNA from 11 species